AUUGAUAAUUAGUUUAAGACAAAACAAAUGAUUUCGACUCAUUAGAUUAUGAAUUCACAUAAUUAUCAU
rnacentral:tRNA from 1 species